UUGAAACACAGGUUCCUGUAAGAUCACGGAAGUUAAGCAAUGUCAAGCCUGGUCAGUACCUAGAUGGGUGACUGCUUGGAAAUAGAAAGUGCUGUAA